rnacentral:rRNA from 1 species
UACGUAGGGGGCAAGCGUUAUCCGGAUUUACUGGGUGUAAAGGGAGCGUAGACGGUGUGGCAAGUCUGAUGUGAAAGGCAUGGGCUCAACCUGUGGACUGCAUUGGAAACUGUCAUACUUGAGUGCCGGAGGGGUAAGCGGAAUUCCUAGUGUAGCGGUGAAAUGCGUAGAUAUUAGGAGGAACACCAGUAGCGAAGGCGGCUUACUGGACGGUAACUGACGUUGAGGCUCGAAAGCGUGGGGAGCAAACAGG